UACGUAGGCAGCGAGCGUUGUUCGGAAUGACUGGGCGUAAAGAGUGUGUAGGCGGUGCUCCCAGUCUGUUGUGAAAUCUCCCGGCUUAACUGGGAGGGUGCAGCGGAAACUAGAGUGCUAGAGGGUGGGAGAGGUAAGCGGAAUUCCUGGUGUAGCGGUGAAAUGCGUAGAUAUCAGGAGGAACACCUGAGGUGUAGACAGCUUACUGGACCACUUCUGACGCUGAGACACGAAAGCGUGGGUAGCAAACAGG
rnacentral:rRNA from 1 species